GAUUCAUAAAUGAAAUUGCGUACGGCUCAUUAGAGCAGAUAUCACCUUUCUCGGAAUCCUGAAAAGGAUAACUGCGGAAAUUCUGGAGCUAAUACAUGCGACUAUACUCCAACGCAAGGCGGGGUGCAAUUAUUAGAACAGACCAAACGUUUUCGGACGUUGUUUGUUGACUCUGAAUACCGUCGUUUACUGUCAGUUUCGACUGACUCUAUCCGAGAAGGGUGUCUGCCCUUUCAACUAGAUGGUAAUCUAUUGGACUACCAUGGUUGUUACGGGUAACGGAGAAUUAGGGUUCGACUCCGGAGAGGGAGCCUUAGAAACGGCUACCACGUCCAAGGAAGGCAGCAGGCGCGAAACUUAUCCACUGUUGAGUAUGAGAUAGUGACUAAAAAUAUAAAGACUCAUCCUUUUGGAUGAGUUAUUUCAAUGAGUUGAAUAUAAAUUAUUCUUCGAGUAGCAAGGAGAGGGCAAGUCUGGUGCCAGCAGCCGCGGUAAUUCCAGCUCUCCUAGUGUAUCUCGUUAUUGCUGCGGUUAAAAAGCUCGUAGUUGGAUCUAGGUUACGUGCCGCAGUUCGCAAUUUGCGUUAACUGUGGUCGUGACUUCUAAUUUGCUGGUUUGAGGUUGGGUUCGCCCUUCAACUGCCAGCAGGUUUACCUUGAAUAAAUCAGAGUGCUCAAUACAGGCGCUUGCUUGAAUAGCUCAUCAUGGAAUAAUGAAACAGGACUUCGGUUCUUUUUGUUGGUUCUAGAAUUGAUCUAAUGGUUAAGAGGGACAAACCGGGGGCAUUCGUAUCAUUACGCGAGAGGUGAAAUUCGUGGACCGUAGUGAGACGCCCAAUAGCGAAAGCAUUUGCCAAGAAUGUCUUCAUUAAUCAAGAACGAAAGUCAGAGGUUCGAAGGCGAUUAGAUACCGCCCUAGUUCUGACCGUAAACGAUGCCAUCUCGCGAUUCGGAGGGUUCAUGCCCUACCGAGGAGCUACCCGGAAACGAAAGUCUUUCGGUUCCGGGGGUAGUAUGGUUGCAAAGCUGAAACUUUUAGAAAUUGACGGAAGGGCACCACAAGGCGUGG
rnacentral:ncRNA from 1 species